rnacentral:rRNA from 1 species
CCUACGGGUGGCAGCAGUGGGGAAUAUUGGACAAUGGGCGAAAGCCUGAUCCAGCCAUGCCGCGUGUGUGAAGAAGGCCUUCGGGUUGUAAAGCACUUUCAGUGGGGAAGAAAGCCUUGGGGCUAAUACCCUCGAGGAAGGACAUCACCCACAGAAGAAGCACCGGCUAACUCCGUGCCAGCAGCCGCGAUAAUACGGAGGGUGCGAGCGUUAAUCGGAAUUACUGGGCGUAAAGCGCGCGUAGGCGGUCUGAUAAGCCGGUUGUGAAAGCCCCGGGCUCAACCUGGGAACGGCAUCCGGAACUGUCAGGCUAGAGUGCAGGAGAGGAAGGUAGAAUUCCCGGUGUAGCGGUGAAAUGCGUAGAGAUCGGGAGGAAUACCAGUGGCGAAGGCGGCCUUCUGGACUGACACUGACGCUGAGGUGCGAAAGCGUGGGUAGCAAACAGGAUUAGAUACCCCUGUAGUC